rnacentral:rRNA from 1 species
UUACCAGGUUUGACAUACAAGUAGUAGGAAAGGAAACUGGACGACCUUCGGGAGCUGUACAGGUGCUGCAUGGCUGUCGUCAGCUCGUGUCGUGAGAUGUUCGGUUAAGUCCGCUAACGAGCGCAACCCUCGCUGUGUGUUACAAGUGUCACACGGAACUGCCGGUCAUAAACCGGAGGAAGGUGGGGAUGACGUCAAGUCAGCAUGGCCUUUAUAUCCUGGGCUACACACACGCUACAAUGGGAAGGGACAAUAGGUUGCGAAGCCGCGAGGCGGAGCCAAUCCAGCAAAACUUCCCUCAGUUCAGAUUGCAGGCUGCAACUCGCCUGCAUGAAGUUGGAGUUGCUAGUAAACGCAGGUCAGCCAUACUGCGUUGAAUACGUUCCCGGGGCUU